rnacentral:rRNA from 1 species
GUGGGGAAUAUUGGACAAUGGGCGAAAGCCUGAUCCAGCCAUGCCGCGUGUGUGAAGAAGGUCUUCGGAUUGUAAAGCACUUUAAGUUGGGAGGAAGGGCAGUAAGUUAAUACCUUGCUGUUUUGACGUUACCGACAGAAUAAGCACCGGCUAACUUCGUGCCAGCAGCCGCGGUAAUACGAAGGGUGCAAGCGUUAAUCGGAAUUACUGGGCGUAAAGCGCGCGUAGGUGGUUCAGCAAGUUGGAGGUGAAAUCCCCGGGCUCAACCUGGGAACUGCCUCCAAAACUGCAUGACUAGAGUACGGUAGAGGGUAGUGGAAUUUCCUGUGUAGCGGUGAAAUGCGUAGAUAUAGGAAGGAACACCAGUGGCGAAGGCGACUACCUGGACUGAUACUGACACUGAGGUGCGAAAGCGUGGGGAGCAAACAGGAUUAGAAACCCCUGUAGUCC